AUACGGAGGGUGCAAGCGUUAUCCGGAAUCAUUGGGUUUAAAGGGUCCGUAGGCGGGAAUCUAAGUCAGUGGUGAAAUCUUGCAGCUCAACUGUAAAAUUGCCAUUGAUACUGGAUUUCUUGAAUUAGUGUGAAGUGGUUAGAAUGUGUAGUGUAGCGGUGAAAUGCAUAGAUAUUACACAGAAUACCAAUUGCGAAGGCAGAUCACUAACACUAUAUUGACGCUAAGGGACGAAAGCGUGGGGAGCGAACAGGAUUAGAAACCCCGGUAGUCC
rnacentral:rRNA from 1 species